rnacentral:rRNA from 1 species
UACGGGGGGGGGCAAGCGUUUGUUCGGAAUUACUGGGCGUAAAGGGCUCGUAGGUGGCCAACUAAGUCAGACGUGAAAAUCCCCUCGGCUUAACCGGGGGAACUGCGUCUGAUACUGGAUGGCUUGAGUUUGGGAGAGGGAUGCGGAAUUCCAGGUGUAGCGGUGAAAUGCGUAGAUAUCUGGAGGAACACCGGUGGCGAAGGCGGCAUCCUGGACCAACACUGACACUGAGGAGCGAAAGCCAGGGGAGCAAACGGG